UAUAGGAGAGUGACUUUGAAGGCUGGGUAGAGGAGCCUGAGCCUUCAGCUGGCCCUGUGUUGAUGACACUGUCACUAGAGCAGAGUCCACAGGCUUGCAGGUGGACAGUGGUGAUGUUAUGGAGCUGGCGGAGGAACAUUCAAAGGAACUGCCUACAGAGGAACUUCAGCAACUUCUCACUAAGCCACAGAGAAGGGCAGCUGAGGAGCUUUCUCAGAAGAGAGGGGAGUAUCAUCCAUCAGUGCAGCAAAGUUCUUCUUCAGAAAUAAAGGAAAUUUGACAAAAUGGACAGAGCUACAAAUAUUUGUAGAGAAGACCCACCCAGGCCGAGAAAGAAGCCAAUUGUUACAUUCACUUGCUUAAUGACAAUGUCUAGUCAUAUGUGAUAAAGAGUAGAAACAGACAACCUUAGCCUAGUUUUGAGUUCUGAAAAGGUUGAGACGUAGUGAGCCAGAAGUAGGUCCUAGUGGACUCUCCCAAGGACAGAAAGGACACCAGAGAACCAGAUUUCUGAUGUUCUUCUGGAAGGAGCUCUUCUUGUGCUUCAUCCUCCCUUUCUGCAAGUCAAAGCUGACAAGAUUAAUAAGAACAGUGUAUGUGACUGCAGGCCAGUAAUCUAAAGGACUUGGAGGCUCCGAAAACUCAGGCUGAGUGAGGGUGUGGCUGUGUGGAUUACGUCGCAGAUUUGCGAAACCACGUGCCUGCGUUGAUGAUGCCAGCCAUCAAGGACACCGCAGGCUACUGCCCACACACGACAAAAUAUAAAUGACUGCAGUUCUUCCUAAAUAUGGUUGCUGUAGAUAUUAAAUAAGG